GGUAGUGUAGCUGAGUGGUCUAAGGCGCUAGAUUAAAACUCUAGUCUGACAGGAGACGUGGGUUCAAAUCCCACCACUGUCA